rnacentral:misc_RNA from 1 species
UUAGGGAGACCUAAUCCACUCAAAUGUCGAAAGCAAAAAGCAAAUAGAUAAUGAGAUGGUCAACCUAGGUCGUUCGAGGUUGGUUUGAAGCUUUCAAAGUAUUAUUGGUUCGUUAAAUUUAAAUAUCUGCAAAGAUAGGUAAGAAAAUCAGCAACUGGGCGUCAGGCCAGACUGCUGGUGGAUACCAGCCAGAACCUUGAAAACUGCAUAGUAACGCGAUUUGAAAAGCAGGCAGACACAGAAAAAGUGAAAGCUGUUUUGAAUUUAAUGUAAAGU